rnacentral:rRNA from 1 species
AUUGAACGCUGGCGGAAUGCUUUACACAUGCAAGUCGAACGGCAGCACGGACUUCGGUCUGGUGGCGAGUGGCGAACGGGUGAGUAAUGUAUCGGAACGUGCCCAGUCGUGGGGGAUAACGUAGUGAGAAUUACGCUAAUACCGCAUACGAUCUAUGGAUGAAAGCGGGGGAUCGCAAGACCUCGCGCGAUUGGAGCGGCCGAUAUCAGAUUAGGUAGUUGGUGGGGUAAAGGCCCACCAAGCCAACGAUCUGUAGCUGGUCUGAGAGGACGACCAGCCACACUGGAACUGAGACACGGUCCAGACUCCUACGGGAGGCAGCAGUGGGGAAUUUUGGACAAUGGGCGAAAGCCUGAUCCAGCCAUUCCGCGUGCAGGAUGAAGGCCCUCGGGUUGUAGACUGCUUUUGUACAGAACGAAAAGGUUUCUACUAAUACUAGGAGCUCAUGACGGUACUGUAAGAAUAAGCACCGGCUAACUACGUGCCAGCAGCCGCCGUAA